GAAUAGGCUUGCCAGGGGCUCAGGGACAGACUCACCUGUUUGCAUGUCCUUCUUUUUGCAGUUCUGCGGUUCCACAUCCCUUCCCCAGGGCUGCUCGAGGAUGAGCAAGUAUACAUCCUCGGGGUCAUCCAGAGCUGCCAGGCAGCUGAGCUCAGGGGGCUGCGAACCCUGAAGUGCUCCAAGCAGGAGACGGCCAAAGCCAUUUUGGAUAUCUUGGGGCCCUUGGAGCACUUCAGGGAUCGCCCCCUGACCCUGGCCCUUGCCUUGGAGGCCCUCCUCCAGCUAAGUACCAUGAGGCCCAAAUUCAGUUGUGACAUGGUCCAUAGGACCAUGGAGGCAGUUAUUCAGGGCCCAGAAAAGGAGGA